GAAAUGCGAUAAGUAGUGUGAAUUGCAGAAUUCAGUGAAUCAUCGAAUCUUUGAACGCACAUUGCGCCACUUGGUAUUCCAUGGGGCAUGCCUGUUCGAGCGUCAUUUGUACCCUCAAGCUCUGCUUGGUGUUGGGUGUUUGUCCCGUCUCCGCGCGUGGACUCGCCCCAAAGUGAUUGGCAGCCGGCGUACUGGUCCCGGAGCGCAGCACAUGUCGCGCAAACGAGUGCCUUGGUACGGCGGCGUCCAUAAGCCCCUCUCUCACGCUCUUGACCUCGGAUCAGGUAGGGAUACCCGCUGAACUUAAGC
rnacentral:misc_RNA from 1 species